rnacentral:tRNA from 1 species
CGUGGCCCAGUGGUUGAGCCAAUGGGCUAGUAACCUGGAGGUCGUAGAUUCGAGCCC